GCGCUAACGGUAGUACUGGCAUUUUAUAAACUGGGUAUUUUUCUAGAUUCGGCGAAAAGAAUUUAUUAUUGCGCCUAUUGCGCCUUGAGAAGCUUUGGAAAAAAUAAUUCGUGGUCACGCCGCACGCUGUGGUUUGAAGUUUAGUGUUUGUGUGUAUCAUGUUUUUUUAGAUUGAUGGUAGAUUUUAGAAUUUCAAAUUUUUCUCUUACAAUAUGAGUUCUGCAAAAAACCCAAAGAAAGCGUGUUAUAAAUGUUGUGUGCCAAAACUUGUGAGGAAAUUGAACGAUUUAAAUUUCCCAAGCCAAAAAACCAAUAUAAUGCGGAUUUGUUUAAAAUUUGGCUUGAUAAUAUUAAUAAUCCAUUAAUAAAUGGGCGCAGCUACGACGAAAUUCAUUCUGUAUAUAAAAUUUGUGCCAAACAUUUUAUUGAAGGAAAAAUUCUUACAUCAGGCUCUAGAAGAGGCAUUUCGGAAAAUGCUGUGCCUACAUUAUUUUUAGGCAAAGAUAGUCUGAGUGAUAAUAAUGAUAAAAUAACAAUAUUUGACAAACAGUCAGGACUUGGCUCAUCUGGCACUUUUAAUAAUUUACCAUCAGUGUUAGAAAAUAUUGAAAAGCCAUCCAGGAAAAGCAAUAUUGAUAUUGAUAAUAUACACUUUGCUGCUAUUGAAGAUUCUUAUUCAUCUCUUAAAGGAUCGACGUCGAUUUUAAAAGAGAUCAAUGUAACGCGAGCAAAAUUCCUGUCACCUAAAGCCCGUCAUCUUUAUAAAAAAAUUUGUUAUUUUAAGCAACAAGUUCGCAAAGGUCACAAGGACAGACUGGCCGAAGCCGAGAAAUUGGCACAAUCUCCCCAAUUUGAGAAUCUCAUAAAGUCUGUGAACACCAGGACCUACAACUUUAUUUUAUGCCAAGUGCGAACUCAAAUACAAAAGCCUAAAGCCCAAAGGUUUUCGCUAGACGAAAAAUUGUUAGCUUUGACACUUUUAAAAGCUAGUAAUAGAGGCUAUAAAUUACUCUCAAAAAUUUUUGCUCUACCAUCAAAGCGGUCUUUCUAACUAAUUUAUUAAAUAAGAUACCUCUCAAGCCUGGCAUUAAUAGUCAUCUUUUUAAAAACAUGAAAAGGACGGUUCAAAACAUGAAACCUCUUGACCGUCAUUGCAUUCUUAUUUUCGAUGAAGUGGCUAUUGGUAGCCUACUGUCUUAUGACUCACGAGAGGAUGAAAUAAAAGGAAUCGCAGAUUUUGGACUUGGACAAAGAUAUCCGAAAAUUACCAACUAUGCCAAUGUUUUUAUGAUCAAAGGUUUAUUUCGGCAAUGGAAACAACCGAUCUGUUUUACGUUUAGUGAGGGUCCUACAAAGUCCGACACUAUAAGAUAUUUUAUUAAAAAAAUUGUACAAUUCUGUCACGAAAUAGGACUGAAAAUACUAGCCACAGUGUGUGACCAGGGAGCUCCCAAUCAAGCAGCAAUAAAUCAGCUCAAGAAGGAAACCAGCACGUAUUGCCUUAAGAACGGUAUCGAAAAUAAAUAUGUGGGUUUAUUGGUUGACAAAAAAGAAAUUAUACCCUUAUUCGAUACACCUCAUCUCUUCAAGGGAAUAAGAAAUAAUUUGUUAACAAAAGACCUCCAUUUCCAACUAAAGGGUUCAUCAUUUAUUGCCAAGUGGUCGCGUAUAGAGCAGCUGUAUUUUCUAGACGAUGAAGAUGACGUACGUAUGUGUCCGAAAUUAACGGAUGAGCAUGUGCUGCGGGACAAAAUUAGGAAAAUGCGUGUAAGCUGUUGCACCCGAGUGUUCGGAAAACAUUUCAAACUCAAAUAAUACCAUGAGCAUUAAUCUUAAAAGUGUUCCUCCUGCUCCAAGACGAUCAAAAAUCUCACGAUGUGUCUACAAAUAUAUUUCUGGUUUUAUUUUGAGAAAGAUGAAAAAACUUAUUAAGUGUAAUUUUUGUAAAAGGAACAUGUCAUCUAUUGACCUAAUGACAGAUCUUGAUUUUAUUGAAGCUAGGCAAUAUAAAAAUUGCAAUUUGACAGUUUCGGGAACAUAUUUUAACUUUCUGGUAAGCCAAGCGAUACCCCGACUUUUUUAUUUAAUUCCGAGGGUUUGCCAUGUGGCAAACAUUUCUAAAGUUUUGCAAGAAAUUAUUUCUAAAGAAUUGCACACGUCUUUAUUGAAUUGUACGUUGCAUGAAAAUACCGAUAAAAUAUUUUUAAAAUAUAUCGUUAGAUGUUGCUUGUUUUUUUGGUGUAAAAAAAUUAAUUUAAUAUCAAAAGGCAAAGAUGCGAAAUUUGUUAGGUAUUUAAGAACUACACCCAAAGAUCUAAUAGACCCCAUUAAAAUUAAUGCAUAUAAAAAAAAUUUUAAAAGGAAAAAAAGGUAAAAACAUAAAUAACAUUUUCUAUACAUACCAGGUGUUAACAGGCAUUUCUUUAAGUAAUUUUAAGACGAGAUUUUAAACUUCAAAUAUUUGUUUUUUCGUGAUUAUCUUAAAUAUCAUAUAUCCAAUUUUGCUGUCAUUUGACAUUACAAUUUGAGAAAAAAAAAGAAAGGUUUUUCCCAUGUUUCUUGUUUAGUUUAGAGAAUGCAAUUAAACACAAUUUAUUUAUUUUUUCUCGAAAACUAAGCAGGAAAAAAUUCGAGUAACAAAAAAGCUGUAUUUUUAAUUGAGUCUUUUUAAGUCUCAAAAAUAGCCAUUUAGGUACCACUAGGACAAAGACAAUUUAUAUAAAGGGUGUCCCACAAAAAAAUGCGGCGAAAAAAAAUUUAAAAACAUUUUGACACGUGACUUUGCUAACAUGUAUCUCAUGUACCUCAACUGAUAUGACAUGUACUGAUGACAUGAACUGACAUGUACCUCAACUGAUAGGUAUUAAAAAGUUAAGAUAAGGAAAGUGCAAUUCGUUUUUUUUUCAAUUUAGGUCAAUUUAUGAUUCAAAUUUCCAUCCAGAGUCCUCCUGCAGAAAAAAUAUUGUACGUAACACAAUCCAAAAGUGAUUUUAUUUACUAAUAUUUCAUUCUUCUGCAAACCUUUACGUUUUAUAUGUAUACUUAGGCAUACAAUAUAAGUUUAUAUUUUUACUAAAACAUAAAGUAGUUACAAAAUUACUCUUUCUGUACAUUCUCUUUCAUUUAAAUGUGUUUUUUAUUAAAUAAUAUCACAGAUAAAGUAUUAUGUAAUAUAAUAUGUAUUUCCACAUUGUUACAUAGACUUGCUGUAUAUUAUACAUUGUAUAUGUGUAAAAUUAAAAUACAUGUCAAUAAAAAAAGAAAAAAAUUG
rnacentral:lncRNA from 1 species